GACGAACGCUGGCGGCGCGCUUAACACAUGCAAGUCGAACGGAAAGGCCUGCUUUCCCUUGUGGAUUGCGGGUACUCGAGUGGCGAACGGGUGAGUAACACGUGAGUGAUCUGCCCCCAACUUGGGUAUAAGCCUGGGAAACUGGGUCUAAUUCCCGAUAGGACUGCAGGGUGGUGCCUGUGGUGGAAAACGAUUUUCUAGUGGUUGGGGAUGAGCUCGCGGCCUAUCAGCUUGUUGGUGGGGUAAUGGCCUACCAAGGCGGCGACGGGUAGCCGGCCUGAGAGGGUGGACGGCCCCAUUGGGACUGAGAUACGGCCCAGACUCCUACGGGAGGCAGCAGUGGGGAGUAUUGCACAAUGGGCGGAAGCCUGAUGCAGCGACGCCGCGUGGGGGAUGACGGCCUUCGGGUUGUAAACUCCUUUCGACCGCGAGGAAGCCACCUGGUUGGAAGGGUGGUGACGGUAGUGGUAGAAGAAGCACCGGCUAACUACGUG
rnacentral:rRNA from 1 species